rnacentral:lncRNA from 1 species
AGGAACCCUGGGCAUCUGAAUACAUGGACAACUACAAUAUUUUCUUGAAGAAGCUGAACUGGAAGAAUCGGAACCCUGUGUCAUCUUUCUGCUCAGCAGUCAAGCCUGUAACCAAUUUCUGUCACCGGAUGCCCUCUCAAACACCAAUAGCAGUCAACACAGCACCUUGAAAGUGUACAGCAAUAGUUAUUAUGGUAUGUUCUAAAUUGGACCCUGUGGUAUCAGGGGUGCCAUUGGCAACAGUAAUUGAAGGUGGGGGUCCAGUCCAUGGUGUGUGGAUUUGGCUGUCGGCUCUACUUACAAAAGAGGGCACACACUUGCAUGAAAUUCUCAUGUUCUUUGUGUCUUGUGCAAAUUUGUGUCCUCUUUUGCAAGUAGGGUGAAGGACUACCUGCCCACCCAGUCCCGAAUUUACGUACUGUAUAAGCUAAACAAGCUAUAGCUUAGGGCCCCACUCUCUUGGGGGCCCCCAAAAAAAUUUUAAAGGGGAAAAAACUGGAUGUAUAUUUUCAAAAUAUAAGAUAAAAAAACAAGUAAAAUGGCUUUAGAUACCUAUUAGGUCCAUAAAUUACCAUAUAGCAUAUAUUCAACACAAAAAACAGCAGCAAUUUGUUGUUGACAAAGGACAGCUGGACAUAUAAAGGGCCCCAUUACCAUCAGUAGACUAAAGGUAAAUGUAAAGGGUCCCCUGACCUUUAGGUCCAGUCGCGGACAACUCUGGGGUUGCGCACUCAUCUCGCUCUAUAGGCCGAGGGAGCCGGCGUUUGUCCGCAGACAGCUUCCAGGUCAUGCGGCCAGCAUGACUAAGCCACGUCUGGUGAACCAGAGCAGCACACAGAAAUUCCAUUUACCUUCCCGCCGGAGCGGUACCUAUUUAUCUACUUGCACUUUGAGGUGCUUUCAAACUGCUAGGUGAGCAGGAGCUGGGACCAAGCAACAGGAGCUCAUCCCGUUGAAGGAUUCGAACCACUGACCUUCUGAUCAGCAAACCUAGGGCCUCAUCAAACCUAAAUCCGGCCCUGCCCCACCCCCAACUAAUCAGUGGCCACAUCCAAGUAACAAAACAUCAGACAGACAGUGUGCCACCAGGUGAAGCUUUUUCUAGAAUUAUUUCCAUAUGAGAAAAAGGCUAAUGUGUCAAAUUUCUGCCUGUUUAAAGACACAAUAUCCCUACUUUCUCUCUGUGCCAAUCCUAAAUCACAUAAAGAAUUCUAGAAGUGGUAAAACAGUUGCGAUAUUGUAGAUCAUGGGUGGGAAACCCUUUUUUGGCUCUGCAGGUUGGGCAAGGCUAUCCACCUGUCAGUCAUCUGGCACCACAAUAAUGUGACUGGGUGUUUUGAAGUCCCGAAGUCAGAGCUUCAAAUCACCACACACAGCCCAGUUCGCCCUAUACGAACUGAAAUGCAGCUAGCCUUUGAAAUCUGCACGUCUCCAAAUUUUGCAAUGCAGUUGUCCAAACAAUAACAUGUGGGGAAAAAAUCUGUGAAACUGCAUCUAAAAAUGAACAUAUCAGUGAAAGUAACAUGCAAAAUAUGGCACUUAAGGCUGGAAAAAUUAGAAACAGAAAGAAACAGGGGUGGACAAAUCUAUCCAUCUCUGCUCCCAAGUGAAACUUGCAUAGGAGCAUUUUGUAGUGAAACGUUCACAGAAGGUAUGAGGAUUUCUCAUCUGGAAAUGAUCCAGCUGUACUAAAAUCAUUUAAACUAUUGCUGGGUCAAAAGAAAUCUCAGCAGUUCUUGGCACUUCAGUCUUUGGGUUUGAUUGUGAGGAGAUACAGCAAGCAGAUUCUUUUAUAUUUAAGCAUGUAUGCCUUAUGGGACGCGGGUGGCGCUGUGGGUUAAACCACAGAGCUUAGGACUUGCCGAUUGGAAGGUCGGCGGUUCGAAUCCCCGCAACGGGGUGAGCUCCCGUUGCUCGGUCCCUGCUCCUGACAACCUAGCAGUUCAAAAGCACGUCAAAGUGCAAGUAGAUAAAUAGGUACCGCUCCGCCGGGAAGGUAAACGGCGUUUCCGUGCACUGCUCUGGUUCGCCAGAAGCAGCUUAGUCAUGCUGGCCACAUGACCCGGAAGCUGUACGCCGGCUCCCUCGGCCAAUAAAGCGAGAUGAGCGCCACAACCCCAGAGUCGGCCAUGACUGGACCUAAUGGUCAGGGGUCCCUUUAUUUACCUUUACCUCUAUUUAGCUUGCUGGUUCAUUCCACAUGCUAUUCCACAUGCCUUGCUGGUCUAUUCCACAUGCUAAAGUGACACAGAAGGAGAUGGAUUCAUCAAUCCCUGGCUCUAUUUAGUUAGCACGAAUUUGUUGAAUAUUGUAUUGAAGCCCUCUAUGCCAGUGAUGUCACAUCUUGUGGCAGUGGGUUCCGUAAGUUAAUUAUGUAAUAGGUGAAGAAGAACUCCCUCUCUUUCCUGCAUAGAGCUCUGCAUUUAUUCCCAUUAUGAAAGUUAUUGUUUUAGCUUCUGGAAUUAUCCAUCCCUGAAAUGCACCCUAGAUAUAUUUAUUUUAUUUUUUCUUUCUUUCUGGUUCUAGUUCUUCAAGCAACACAGGAUACCAGCUAUGGACAUUUGGACACAGGACCUUGGAGGCCUGAAGACCUGUUAGAUACCAGAGACAGUUGUUUAUAUUUAGUGUAUUUUUACAUUUGUGUAUAUCAUAGCAGGGAUAUGAUACACCUGCUUACCAAAGUAAAACCAGAGCCCUAAUUUGAACGGUGUAUUGAAAUGGACAGUACCACUGUGCAAUGCAUGUAUCUUAGAAUCAAUAAUCAAAGAUAGAAUUGUUCAGGUCACUGUGCCUUUUAAAUAAACAACAAAUGGACAAAACAAA